AGAAUCAACGCUGCGGCGUGCCUAACACAUGCAAGUCGAACGAGAAAGUGGGAGCAAUCCCAUGAGUAAAGUGGCGCACGGGUGAGUAACACGUGACUAACCUACCCUUGAGUGGGGGAUAACCUAGGGAAACCUGGGCUAAUACCGCAUAAUACCUACGGGUCAAAGGAGCAAUUCGCUUUAGGAGGGGGUCGCGGCAGAUUAGUUAGUUGGCGGGGUAAUGGCCCACCAAGACAGUGAUCUGUA
rnacentral:rRNA from 1 species